CUACGGGGCGCAGCAGUGGGGAAUAUUGCACAAUGGAGGAAACUCUGAUGCAGCAACGCCGCGUGGAGGAUGACACUUUUCGGAGCGUAAACUCCUUUUAUAUAGGAAGAAGAUGACGGUACUAUAUGAAUAAGCGCCGGCUAACUCCGUGCCAGCAGCCGCGGUGAUACGGAGGGCGCAAGCGUUACUCUGGAAUCACUGGGCGUAAAGAGCGUGUAGGCGGAUUAAAAAGUCAGAAGUGAAAUCCUAUAGCUUAACUAUAGAACUGCUUCUGAAACUCUUAAUCUAGAAUAUGGGAGAGGUAGAUGGAAUUUCUGGUGUAGGGGUAAAAUCCGUAGAGAUCAGAAGGAAUACCGAUUGCGAAGGCGAUCUACUAGAACAUUAUUGACGCUGAGACGCGAAAGCGUGGGGAGCAAACAGGAUUAGAUACCCGAGUAGUC
rnacentral:rRNA from 1 species